rnacentral:lncRNA from 1 species
GAGGUUGUUAUGUAAGAAAUUGUUGACGUAACUAUUUGAGUGAGACAUAACUCAGCUGAUGUAUGUAAAAAAAAAAUUAAUUUUGUAAUUAAACAUUUUUAAUAUAUUAAAGGGUAAAAUGGUCACCAAAAUCAGAAUUGAUCCCCAAAAUCGAUCAAAACAAUCAGAAUCGAUCCCCAAAAUCAUUACACAUCUAAAGCAUUAAAAUAAUCAAAAUCAAUCACCAAAAUCGAUCGAACGCCGUUGAACCUUCGUAUACUGUUUGUAGAUCUGUAGCUCCCGCUACUUCUAAUGCUUUGUAUUGCACCAAAUUAUUAGAGUUCGGCAUCUUUGUUGAUCGAAUCGUAGUCUGUGUAAUUAUCGUCUGAUAAGUCGACGUCGGUGAUACUAUCUGUUCGGACCGAAGAGUGAGUUGACGAGUUUAGAUCGACUAGCGAGUCGAUCUCGAUCGAAUUCUGUGGUCGUCGGAUACUGUGGUUGAUUUCAUUGACCGUUGGACUUCAUCACCGGCCCGUAAAUAGCUAUCGAUUUUGUGACGAUCGUCGUCAAAUAUCAUUCUCUUUUUGGCCUCCUCUGACACCGUGGAAUCCCACCAGAGGAUGAACGCCGGUGGAUGAGAGCCCCAAAAUCGAUCGAAAGCCAUUGUACCAUCCGUUGAACACCGUUGGAUUAAUGAUUUGUUUGGUCUGAUUUGGUGAACCUUGGCUGAUUAAUGGGCAAUUCUUGGCUGAAUAUAUGUGUUAUGGGUUCAUCUAGUUUGGACAAUUCUUGGCUGAAUAAAUGUGCAAUUCUUGGUGAACCUUGGCUGAUUAAUGGGCGAUUCUGAUUUUGGUGACAAUUUUAUGUUAGGUUUUGUGAAAAUCAAAAUAGUAAUUAAAUUGUACAAAUUAGCGAAAGCAAAGUAAAAUUAGAUUUUAAAAUUUUUCACAAACCAAUUACACAGGUCAUCCUUUAUGGAAUUAUACCCUUGUAGAUACGAGCUUCUACAAGUACGAGUUCAAUUCCUACUUCUCCGUGAUCUCCUUGAAUUUCCGGGUAGAUUCCUUCCUUUGAUCAAUGUUAGCCACUCAAGUGUAUGACCUCUACAGGUAAUCUGUAAGACCCCAAUUUUUUUUUGAAUAAAGAAUAAUUUUUCUCGAA